UGACGUUAUCAUGUGACCUACGACGUUAUCACAAGCGCAACAACUUAAAAGAUAUGAGUGACAGGUUUAAUUCAUCUAUCUGUAAAUAUCUUGAUAUUGAUCAAACUUGCUUAUUUUGUGGUCUUGUUGAAGAAACAACUGCCGUUCGGUUUUCUUCAGUGUUAGCAAUGUCUGAUGCCAAAGAAGAGAUCAGCAGCUGCUCAAAGAUCUCGCCUUUGGAGAAGACUGAUUUUAUACUCAAAAAAAUCUGUGCCCAUUCUGCUGCUUUAUUCUGACGAACACCUUCAUCCAUCAUGUCCCUCACUGCUGCUCUUCUCAGUGGGGACAUCGUUGAUCCAGAGGAUGAGGAAGAUGAUGAUGAUGGACCCCUGAACCCCACAACCUUGAAGCAAGACUGGGAGAAGAUGUGCAGGACAAUCUGGCUGCUGCUGUGUCUGCUGCAAACAUUCAUGUGCUCUCCAUCAGCAUGACUAAAACAGAUUAAAACAUUUUACAAUUCA